AAUCCCAGGGCUCAACCCUAGACAGGCGGUGAAAACUACCAAGCUGGAGUACAGUAGGGGCAGAGGGAAUUUCUGGUGGAGCGGUGAAAUGCUUAGAGAUCGGAAAGAACACUCUGCUAGGCCGACACUGAC
rnacentral:ncRNA from 1 species